AGAGAAAACUUAGACCUACCAAAUCCCUUGGUAUGAAAUCAAAUGAACUAUUCAGGCUCAAAUGUCUGCCUCCCAAAACUUCUUAAGCCAACUUUCUUUUCAGUUUUGGGAAUCAUCUAGAUUUUCACCGAACUUUUACAAGUCUGAUAUCCUGAAACCUAAGAUGACCAACAUGGUGGUGCAGCCUGUAUUACUGUAUUAGCCUGUGUUACUGGGGAGGAUGAGGAAGUUCAUCAUGAUCAUAUCCCUCCAAUAGCAAAUGUGUGCUGACCUUGAGUACUACUUAUUGUCUGCUGCCGGAACAAAGACCACCUGCCUACUGUGACACUCACCAUUUUCUCACUGCUCAUCCUCCCUGAUGCUGGCAUCUUA